rnacentral:rRNA from 1 species
GAUCCUAGCUUGCUAGGAGGCGUCGAGCGGCGGACGGGUGAGUAAUGCAUAGGAAUCUGCCCGGUAGUGGGUGGAUAACCUGGUGGAAACCCAGGCUAAUACCGCAUACGCCCUACGGGGGAAAGCAGGGGAUCUUCGGACCUUGCGCUAUCGGAUGAGCCUAUGUCGGAUUAGCUAGUUGGUGAGGUAACGGCUCACCAAGGCUGCGAUCCGUAGCUGGUCUGAGAGGAUGAUCAGCCACAUCGGGACUGAGACACGGCCCGAACUCCUACGGGAGGCAGCAGUGGGGAAUAUUGGACAAUGGGCGAAAGCCUGAUCCAGCCAUGCCGCGUGUGUGAAGAAGGCCUUCGGGUUGUAAAGCACUUUCAGUGAGGAAGAAAGCCUUGAGGUUAAUACCCUCGAGGGAGGACAUCACUCACAGAAGAAGCACCGGCUAACUCCGUGCCAGCAGCCGCGGUAAUACGGAGGGUGCGAGCGUUAAUCGGAAUUACUGGGCGUAAAGCGCGCGUAGGCGGCUUGAUAAGCCGGUUGUGAAAGCCCCGGGCUCAACCUGGGAACGGCAUCCGGAACUGUCAGGCUAGAGUGCAGGAGAGGAAGGUAGAAUUCCCGGUGUAGCGGUGAAAUGCGUAGAGAUCGGGAGGAAUACCAGUGGCGAAGGCGGCCUUCUGGACUGACACUGACGCUGAGGUGCGAAAGCGUGGGUAGCAAACAGGAUUAGAUACCCUGGUAGUCCACGCCGUAAACGAUGUCGACUAGCCGUUGGGCUCCUUGAGAGCUUUGUGGCGCAGUUAACGCGAUAAGUCGACCGCCUGGGGAGUACGGCCGCAAGGUUAAAACUCAUAUGAAUUGACGGGGGCCCGCACAAGCGGUGGAGCAUGUGGUUUAAUUCGAUGCAACGCGUAGAACCUUACCUACCCUUGACAUCG